rnacentral:rRNA from 1 species
GAAUCCCGUCUUUGACAUGGACUGCCAGGGCUCAACAGGUGUGCUCUCGAAGAGUCGGGUUGUUUGGGAAUGCAGCUCAAAAUGGGUGGUAAAUGCCAUCUAAAGCUAAAUAUUGGCGAGAGACCGAUAGCGAACAAGUACCGUGAGGGAAAGAUGAAAAGAACUUUGGAAAGAGAGUUAAACAGUACGUGAAAUUGCUGAAAGGGAAACGCUUGAAGUCAGUCGCGUCAGCUGGAAAUCAACCCUGCUUUUGCUGGGCGCACUUUCCUGUCUGACGGGUCAGCAUCAAUUUUGCCCCUUGGAUAAUGGCGAGGGAAAUGUGACACCUUUAUGGUGUGUUAUAGUCUCUCGUCGCAUGCAAGGGUUGGGAUUGAGGAACUCAGCACGCGCCUUUGGGUGUCGGGGUUUUGCCCACGAUACGUGCUUAGGAUGUUGGCAUAAUGGCUUUAAACGACCCGUCUUGAAACACGGACCAAGGAGUCUAACAUGCCUGCGAGUGUUUGGGUGGUGAAAACUCAUGCGCGCAAUGAAAGUGAUGGUUGAGAUCCCUGUCAUGGGGAGCAUCGACGCCCAGACCAGACCUUUUGCGACGGAUCUGCGGUAGAGCAUGCAUGUUGGGACCCGAAAGAUGGUGAACUAUGCCUGAAUAGGGUGAAGCCAGAGGAAACUCUGGUGGAGGCUCGUAGCGAUUCUGACGUGCAAAUCGAUCGUCAAAUUUGGGUAUAGGGGCGAAAGACUAAUCGAACCAUCUAGUAGCUGGUUCCUGCC